rnacentral:rRNA from 1 species
AUUGAACGCUGGCGGCAGGCCUAACACAUGCAAGUCGAGCGAGCGGCGGACGGGUGAGUAAUGUAUGGGGACUGCCCGAUAGAGGGGGAUAACUACUGGAAACGGUGGCUAAUCCCGCAUACUAUCGGAUAACCCAUAUGGGAUUAGCUAGUAGGUGGGGUAAAGGCUCACCUAGGCGACGAUCUCUAUCUGGUCUGAGAGGAUGAUCAGCCACACUGGGAUGGAGAGAAGGCCAAGAAUCCCAGGGAGGAAGCAGGGGGGAAUAUGGCAGAAUGGGCGCAAGCCUAGUGCAGCCAUGCCGCGUGUAUGAAGAAGGCCUUAGGGUUGUAAAGUACUUUAAGCGGGGAAGGGUUACCCGCAGAAGAAGCGCCGGCUAACUCCGUGCCAGCAGCAGCGGUAAUAC